UCCCAGUUCGGAUAAGAGGCUGAAACUCGCUCUUUGAAGUCGGAAUCGCUAGUAAUCGCAGAUCAGCAUGUUGCGGUGAAUACGUUCCCGGGUCUUGUACACACCGCCCGUCAAACCAUGAGAGUCACCAACACCCGAAGUCCGCUUUGGCGGCCUAAGGUGGGGGAGAUGAUUGGGGUUAAGUCGUAACAAGGUAUC
rnacentral:rRNA from 1 species